AAAAAAAAAAAAAACUUACUCCUUCGGCAACUGCUUCUUCCCCACAAAACCACGAUUUGACUUUUUACUUUCCUCUCCUCUUCCAAACUCUCUCUUACUUUAAUCCAUUACAACUACUACAGAGAUACAAAAAAGAAAAUUUAUAGCAAUAAUCUAAAAACUCUCUGAUUUGAUUUUCUCUUCUAUGCAAUGAGUAAGGCUCUAUCUUUUACUCUUCACGAAACAUUUCUUUUCCUUCUUUAUACUCUUCUUAUGUGAUGGUUCAUCAUUGAUGGAUGAUCUUAGAUUCCCAUAUGAAGGAUCUUCACACGGUGUUCGACAAAUUGACCAUGGGAAUUUUUGGAAAUCGUCUAGGAAUCAAAAUGGAGGUAACUUAAGAAAAGAGGAAUCAAUUGUUACAUUUUAAGAGGACUUGAACUCUGCAAAAAGGAGAGAUGUUGUACAUGAGGAACCAACUGAAUUGUAUUUAUAAUGUUAAUCCAUUAGGACCAUUAUGGUUAAAUAUGGAAGUUGUGUAACCUUAAGACGUAGAUAAACUCUAAACUAUGUGUGUGUCCGUGUCGAUGACUUGAUAUGUUUUCAUGCUCAUGUUAAUAAAAACAUAAAAAGGAAAACAAACUCAAAUAA